rnacentral:rRNA from 1 species
AACGAACGCUGGCGGCAGGCUUAACACAUGCAAGUCGAACGCGUGCAGCAAUGCACGAGUGGCGCACGGGUGAGUAACGCGUGGAUAUCUGCCUUUUGGUUCGGAAUAACCCCGGGAAACUGGGGCUAAUACCGGAUGGUUCCUACGGGAUAAAGAUUUAUCGCCAAAAGAUGAGUCCGCGUCCGAUUAGCUAGUUGGUGAGGUAAUGGCUCACCAAGGCGACGAUCGGUAGCUGGUCUGAGAGGACGAUCAGCCACACUGGGACUGAGACACGGCCCAGACUCCUACGGGAGGCAGCAGCGGGGAAUAUUGGACAAUGGGGGCAACCCUGAUCCAGCCAUGCCGCGUGAGUGAUGAAGGCCUUCGGGUUGUAAAGCUCUUUUGGCGGGGACGAUGAUGACGGUACCCGCAGAAUAAGCCCCGGCUAACUUCGUG